rnacentral:rRNA from 1 species
UACGAAGGGGGCUAGCGUUGUUCGGAAUUACUGGGCGUAAAGCGCACGUAGGCGGAUUGGCAAGUCAGGGGUGAAAUCCCGGGGCUCAACCUCGGAACUGCCUUUGAUACUGCCAGUCUAGAGUCCGGAAGAGGUGGGUGGAAUUCCUAGUGUAGAGGUGAAAUUCGCAGAUAUCAGGAAGAACACCGGUGGCGAAGGCGGCCCACUGGUCCGGAACUGACGCUGAGGUGCGAAAGCGUGGGGAGCAAACAGG